UGGAUUCUUCUUUUCUCAAUUCAUUCUCUCGAUCUCGAGAUUGGGAUCUCCGGUUGGUUUAAUUAUGGCGUUUCUUUAACAAAUUUCCGGUUUCGGAGCUUUCGAACGAUCUUCUCCUCCGAGGGCUAGUUGAUUGAGACGGCAUUUCCAAUCUCCAAUUUUCCAAUAACAGUGAUCAUCUCCUCGUGUCUUCAUGGGAUAAGCGUGUGAGGUUGUAUGAUGUGAGCACCAAUUCGUUGCGAGGCGAGUUCUUACACGGCGGAGCAGUACUGGAUUGCUGUUUUCAUGAUGAUUUCUCCGGCUUUAGUGUUGGCGCCGAUUACAAAGUCAGAAGGAUUGUUUUCAAUGUUGGCAAAGAGGACAUUUUGGGAACGCAUGACAGACCAGUGCGCUGUGUUGAGUAUUCUUAUGC